UGCAACACUUUUCAAAACUGAUCUAGGG
rnacentral:piRNA from 1 species